GUAAAUGGUUGAGAGAAUAAACUGGAUGGAUGACCAAUCCGAGAAGGGCAUUGAACAAAGUGUAGGUAUCAUGGUCAAUUAUCUCUAAGGUACUUAGCCAACUGGUGCACAUGGACGUGAUGACUUUGCAGCGUUUAUGGACCAACCAACUUGUAAUCAUGGAUCUUAUGUGUUGUAGACCAUUUGGUGAUUUGGUUAUUUU